rnacentral:rRNA from 2 species
UGGGCGUGCUAUACAUGCAAGUCGAACGAACUCUGGUAUUGAUUGGUGCUUGCAUCAUGAUUUACAUUUGAGUGAGUGGCGAACUGGUGAGUAACACGUGGGAAACCUGCCCAGAAGCGGGGGAUAACACCUGGAAACAGAUGCUAAUACCGCAUAACAACUUGGACCGCAUGGUCCGAGUUUGAAAGAUGGCUUCGGCUAUCACUUUUGGAUGGUCCCGCGGCGUAUUAGCUAGAUGGUGGGGUAACGGCUCACCAUGGCAAUGAUACGUAGCCGACCUGAGAGGGUAAUCGGCCACAUUGGGACUGAGACACGGCCCAAACUCCUACGGGAGGCAGCAGUAGGGAAUCUUCCACAAUGGACGAAAGUCUGAUGGAGCAACGCCGCGUGAGUGAAGAAGGGUUUCGGCUCGUAAAACUCUGUUGUUAAAGAAGAACAUAUCUGAGAGUAACUGUUCAGGUAUUGACGGUAUUUAACCAGAAAGCCACGGCUAACUACGUGCCAGCAGCCGCGGUAAUACGUAGGUGGCAAGCGUUGUCCGGAUUUAUUGGGCGUAAAGCGAGCGCAGGCGGUUUUUUAAGUCUGAUGUGAAAGCCUUCGGCUCAACCGAAGAAGUGCAUCGGAAACUGGGAAACUUGAGUGCAGAAGAGGACAGUGGAACUCCAUGUGUAGCGGUGAAAUGCGUAGAUAUAUGGAAGAACACCAGUGGCGAAGGCGGCUGUCUGGUCUGUAACUGACGCUGAGGCUCGAAAGUAUGGGUAGCAAACAGGAUUAGAUACCCUGGUAGUCCAUAGCGUAUACGAUGAAUGCUAAGUGUUGUAGGGUUUCCGCCCUUCAGUGCUGCAGCUAACGCAUUAAGCAUUCCGCCUGGGGAGUACGGCCGCAAGGCUGAAACUCAAAGGAAUUGACGGGGGCCCGCACAAGCGGUGGAGCAUGUGGUUUAAUUCGAAGCUACGCGAAGAACCUUACCAGGUCUUGACAUACUAUGCAAAUCUAAGAGAUUAGACGUUCCCUUCGGGGACAUGGAUACAGGUGGUGCAUGGUUGUCGUCAGCUCGUGUCGUGAGAUGUUGGGUUAAGUCCCGCAACGAGCGCAACCCUUAUUAUCAGUUGCCAGCAUUAAGUUGGGCACUCUGGUGAGACUGCCGGUGACAAACCGGAGGAAGGUGGGGAUGACGUCAAAUCAUCAUGCCCCUUAUGACCUGGGCUACACACGUGCUACAAUGGAUGGUACAACGAGUUGCGAACUCGCGAGAGUAAGCUAAUCUCUUAAAGCCAUUCUCAGUUCGGAUUGUAGGCUGCAACUCGCCUACAUGAAGUCGGAAUCGCUAGUAAUCGCGGAUCAGCAUGCCGCGGUGAAUACGUUCCCGGGCCUUGUACACACCGCCCGUCACACCAUGAGAGUUUGUAACACCCAAAGUCGGUGGGGUAACCUUUUAGGAACCAGCCGCCUAAGGUGGGACAGAUGAUUAGGGGAAGUCGUAACAAGAGCUAGU